CUUUUGUAAGGGGCAGAGGGAUAGCAUGAGAAAAACAAAAAACAAGACAGCCAUCUCAUAAAAUUAAAAAGAUUCCCUGCUCUUUUAAAUACGCCUUCUUUGGUUUCCUUAGAUGAGUGUGACCCUUUAUUGUGGUAGUUCACAAGAGGUUGCCAGCUCCCUUGCUUAAAUUGUCUCUCCAAGGCUGUUCGAACUCGAGAAAAGAACUUUCUAAACAAGCUGGUCCACUUCAUCUGGAAGCCUGUAGAGCAACUUCUCAUGUUUAAUGGCACAGCUUUUUUCAGAAGAGUCAAUUCUAAAUGGGAAGGAAUACUAGCUGUU
rnacentral:misc_RNA from 1 species